CUCCCAUUGCAGCUGAGGAGGCCGACCCCUCUGGAUGCAGAGAAGAAAGAUGUUUGGAAGCGAAAUCCUCAUCCUGAGUCUGGUCGCCGCCGCCAGGGCAAGCGAGCGCAGGUAUGCCAAGGUGCAGCCUUUUUUCCCCGCCGAGCUCAUGGACACGUUCCUUGGCGAAGCACCGACCUCGACCUUCAGUUUCAGCUGCUUACAGAACUGCAACGAGGUGCCCGACUGUCGCUUGGCGUGCGU